rnacentral:rRNA from 1 species
GCAGCAGUGGGGAAUAUUGCACAAUGGGCGCAAGCCUGAUGCAGCAACGCCGCGUGAGGGACGACGGCCUUUCGGGUUGUAAACCUCUUUUAGCAGGGAAGAAGCGAAAGUGACGGUACCUGCAGAAAAAGCGCCGGCUAACUACGUGCCAGCAGCCGCGGUAAUACGUAGGGCGCAAGCGUUAUCCGGAAUUAUUGGGCGUAAAGAGCUCGUAGGCGGUUUGUCGCGUCUGCUGUGAAAUCCCGAGGCUCAACCUCGGGUCUGCAGUGGGUACGGGCAGACUAGAGUGCGGUAGGGGAGAUUGGAAUUCCUGGUGUAGCGGUGGAAUGCGCAGAUAUCAGGAGGAACACCGAUGGCGAAGGCAGAUCUCUGGGCCGUAACUGACGCUGAGGAGCGAAAGGGUGGGGAGCAAACAGGCUUAGAUACCCUGGUAGUCCACCCCGUAAACGUUGGGAACUAGUUGUGGGGUCCAUUCCACGGAUUCCGUGACGCAGCUAACGCAUUAAGUUCCCCGCCUGGGGAGUACGGCCGCAAGGCUAAAACUCAAAGGAAUUGACGGGGACCCGCACAAGCGGCGGAGCAUGCGGAUUAAUUCGAUGCAACGCGAAGAACCUUACCAAGGCUUGACAUAUACGAGAACGGGCCAGAAAUGGUCAACUCUUUGGACACUCGUAAACAGGUGGUGCAUGGUUGUCGUCAGCUCGUGUCGUGAGAUGUUGGGUUAAGUCCCGCAACGAGCGCAACCCUCGUUCUAUGUUGCCAGCACGUAAUGGUGGGAACUCAUGGGAUACUGCCGGGGUCAACUCGGAGGAAGGUGGGGAUGACGUCAAAUCAUCAUGCCCCUUAUGUCUUGGGCUUCACGCAUGCUACAAUGGCCGGUACAAAGGGCUGCAAUACCGUAAGGUGGAGCGAAUCCCAAAAAGCCGGUCCCAGUUCGGAUUGAGGUCUGCAACUCGACCUCAUGAAGUCGGAGUCGCUAGUAAUCGCAGAUCAGCAACGCUGCGGUGAAUACGUUCCCGGGUCUUGUACACACCGCCCGUCAAGUCAUGAAAGUCGGUAACACCUGAAGCCGGUGGCCCAACCC